ensembl:lncRNA
GGGCGGGGCCGGGCUGCGCUGGCGCGGAGGGGUGAGGGGGGACGCCCUGAGGGGACGCCGAGGCCUCGCGUCCCUCGUGCCGAGAUUACAGCUGGAGGAAUUCUAAACAACCCGAGCCUCCUUGUCGUGGUGUUUAAGUGCAUUGUGCUCCUGUCUGAGCAGAGGAAAUCGCUGAGGCUAAGUGGAACAGCAAGGAGUGAUCUGCCCAUGGAGCCAUAAAGUGGAAUUAAGGAUCAAGUUCUUCUGAAUCUUGGUCUUGUACUUCUUCCUACAGCCAAGGUAUUGAACGCAUCCCCGUGCCUCUGGGGGGCAACGUGGCUUCUGCUGACGUGUGAACACUCUGCUUGGCAGCCUGGUGCAGCACAUCACAGCUCAGAUGGGUUCUCCCAGGCGGCUGUGCAGCACAGAGCUAAUACAUGGAAUACAGGCUCAGCACCGUGAGUCAGCACUGCCGGAGCCCAGACUUGUUUGCAGCAGCAGCGAGGCGGUGCGGGAGGUGUGGGCUGCGGGAGCCCUUCUGCCCAAACGCCAUCCGGGAUGAAAUGGGGCUAACAGGGAGCAAAAGGCUGAACGGUGCUCGUGGACUCGUUCUGCACCGACCUGCCAGUCUGCAGGCCCCAAAAAUACAGGCACGGCCCAAAGGUUUCUAUUCAGGGCUCAGCAGUGGAAUAAGGAACAUGAGCCGUGGGAUAUCCCGUGUCACCGCAGGCUGCUCAGCCUGGAAGGGGCUGGUGGCAAAGGGAGGAAACGUCAGAAACGCCAUGGACUAUUUUAGAUCUGCAACCUCAGUUCUGCAAAGGACAGCCUGCUGAUGUGCCACGCUCAGCGAGCAGCGGGGAGGAACCCCACGGCAGGAAGAGAGACAGCCCUCUGCCCUUUGCGUUUCGAUUCCCGGUGUCUGUGUGUGUGGAGGUGAUUUGUCCAUAAUUGUUUGCUUUCUCCGGAGUCCUUUGAAGCGUCUGUCUCCCAACCGGUCCCCUCUUAAGAAUAAAUGCUUCCAAGCCACCAAUAACACGUGGGCCAUGAUUACAGCCCGGCUCCUCGCUGAGGGCCGUGAGGUCACCGAGGCAGCGCAGUGGGAACGGUUUUGCCUUCUGUGUGUGGGGUUGGGCAGAAGGACC